AAGAUUUUAAGUUAUAUCCAAACUUUAAACCUUCAAAGUUUAAUAAAUAAUUUAUUAUAAAUCUUA
rnacentral:tRNA from 1 species